CCAGACUCCUACGGGAGGCAGCAGUGGGGAAUAUUGCACAAUGGGGAAACCCUGAUGCAGCGACGCCGCGUGAGCGAUGAAGUAUUUCGGUAUGUAAAGCUCUAUCAGCAGGGAAGAAGAUGGCGGUACCUGACUAAGAAGCCCCGGCUAACUACGUGCCAGCAGCCGCGGUAAUACGUAGGGGGCAAGCGUUAUCCGGAUUUACUGGGUGUAAAGGGAGCGUAGACGGCGAUGCAAGUCUGAAGUGAAAGGUGGGGGCCCAACCCCCGGACUGCUUUGGAAACUGUAUGGCUGGAGUGCAGGAGAGGUAAGUGGAAUUCCUAGUGUAGCGGUGAAAUGCGUAGAUAUUAGGAGGAACACCAGUGGCGAAGGCGGCUUACUGGACUGUAACUGACGUUGAGGCUCGAAAGCGUGGGGAGCAAACAGGAUUAGAUACCCCCGUAC
rnacentral:rRNA from 1 species